AGCUCUUCAGCACCUCUGUCGUGUUAUAAAUAGGAAUUCUGCGGGAAUUGGGUACACAUGGAGCUGACAGGAGGCAGCUGAGCAAGGCCGACGGUUUCCAUCGAGUUAAGAAGGAAUGUGUCCUUACACAGGAUAAAAAGUCCUACAGUGAUGGAGAUUUUCCGAGACCCAAAAAACAUUGACUUUUUGAUUGUGCAACACCAGCAGGAAUUUCAUCCAGGGCUGAAGAGAAUUGUGACCAGCCAGGAAGUAGCCUGCCAAAGUAUUCCAUCACAAGACAUAAAGGAACCGUUUUGGGGAGCCCUGCUUUGCCUGGCCCCCACAUUCCUGCUUGACUCAUGAAACAAGGGCUACUUAGCCUCUGAGGGGCACUAAGGAAGAAGUGCCCACCUAAGAAGCUGAUCCUCCAACCAAGAGAGUGAUCUACCUUUACCGGUUGCAUGGGUCCGCAAGUACAUGGGGAAUCCUUCUGCUUCAACAGUCUUCCCCAUUCCUGGCUCAUGGUUCGCCCAAGGCUUCAACCUCUUUUUGUGUAAAAGAGAAGUCCUACCACAUCUCUCUUUUCUGUUUCCAGCUCCUCUGAUUGCCGGGAAGAGAAAUGGGCUGUAAAAAUUCAGUCACUAAACCUUUCCUGAAGCUGGAAUGAUAUGGGCAGCGGUUCUGAGAGCUCUUUGUCCCCAACUCCAGGAGACAUUUGGCAAUGUUGUCUCCAGUCUUGUUUAUCUUCAUCAAGGAUACCCACUAAGUCCAAAAGAUCUUCAUAGUGGCACCAAAACAGCCAUGCUGACGCCCUGUGCAAACUUGCCUGUAACUCAACUCCUGCUGCUUCCCAAGGGCGAGGAGCUCCUUAAGAAUCAUCUGCUAUUAUUGUAGCACGUGGUUGGUGCUUCCUCCCACUCUCGAUUCCCACGGGAUGUAAACAGGCUACAUCACAGUUCUGUAUCUUGAUUCCAGGAUGGAAUGCUGAGAUUAUAGGAGGCUCCGUGGCUUAACCCGUAGAAUGUAGCAGCCCUCAGAACCUUUCCCAGACUUUAAGUGGUUGCUGUUUUUGAAGUUUUUACCAGCUUUGCUUGUUUCGCCAGAAAGUGGAUCCAUGACGCUCCUCAUGCCAAUAUCCCAGAGGAGCCUCCCUCUGUCCUUUUCUGCAAGGACCAGGGAAGGUGGUGGAGCCACAAGAUGAAACGAGCCCGAGUUCCUGAAUCACUGCUUGCAGGACAGCUAUGGCUUGGAUUCCUGUGGUCUGGUGUGGAACACACUAUGUUGUCCAGGCUAGCCU